UCCCGGAGGCGAGCGCUGCCCGGGCUGCGGGGCUGCAGCGGGCGAGGCGCAGGCACGUCCCCCGCACGCGGGCGUGGGCUCAGGUCGCCGCGUCCCGGGGACCGGGGUCCGUAGGGAGCCCGCCGCCGCCUCUGGGCUCGCAUCGCACGGCCGCCAGCAUCGGAGGGAAAGCAACAGCCCGACACGAGACGUGUUCAACUCAGACAACCCAACGAGCACAAGAAGAUCCAAAAGAAAAAAAAAAAAAGAAAGAAAGAAAGACAGAAAAAAAAAAGAGCCCCCCCAAAAAAAGAAAAGAAAAAAAGCCACCCCCCACUCCCAAGUCCGGCGGCUCCAGCCCAGCCCAGUCCUGCCCUGCCCAGCCCAGCCUUGCCUGCCCCGGCGCAGCUCCCCGCUCUCGGCCAGGGGCAAAGAGAAAACGAGAAGUGUCCGCACGGGGAACCAACAAGGGAUCGGGGAAGAGAAACAACCCGAGCCGGAGCAGCCCCGGCGCGGCGCGGAGCACAUCUCCCGGGCGUUGGGAAGUCACCGCUCCCCUCCUGCCGCCCGGGAAGCGGAGGGGGGAGGGGGGAAACUUUUCAGUGGUAUUUUCUGGUAAUCCUGGCUCUUCAGAGAGAUUAUUCAAAGAAGAUGUAAGUACUAGAUAAAAAAGUUAAAAAAAAUGUUAUUAGCUGUCAAUGGGCUUUCACUUGUGAUGGAAUACAGUUAUUUUUGUUUAUUUUGGAGCACUAUGAGAAAUCAAGAAGAUAAUACAGCAUGUCUCUUUUGGGUAAAACUCCUAUCAAGGUCAUAACUGGAGUGUAUAGAAGCAACCAGAACGUAAUCUGGAAGAAUCGUACACAAGCAUAUGAGUACUGGAAUUGUAUCUGUUUAAAGGAAUCAUGUAUCACAACAGAGGAUGCACUGUAGUACUAGAAUCUAGUUCAAAGACUAUACCAAUUUAAAUUUAGCAAUACAGUAUUAAAGGAAUAUUCCUUGGAAAUAAAAACAUUAUAACAUUAAAAAUAAUACUAAUGUGUCCAUUUUCUGACAGGCAAUAUGUUAAGUGUUUUUACUGUAUCCAAUAAAUAAUAGAGAUGGGCAUGCAUGCAACCCUGGGCCCC